UACGGGGGGGGCAAGCGUUGUUCGGAAUUACUGGGCGGAAAGGGCUCGUAGGUGGCCAACUAAGUCAGACGUGAAAUCCCUCGGCUUAACCGGGGAACUGCGUCUGAUACUGGAUGGCUUGAGUUCGGGAGAGGGAUGCGGAAUUCCAGGUGUAGCGGUGAAAUGCGUAGAUAUCUGGAGGAACACCGGUGGCGAAGGCGGCAUCCUGGACCGACACUGACACUGAGGAGCGAAAGCCAGGGGAGCAAACAGG
rnacentral:rRNA from 1 species